rnacentral:rRNA from 1 species
AGUAUUUGUUCUCSGCAGMUGCYGCSUGUCGUGKSAUGUGGUGUUGGGAGGGUCCGUCACCCCGGUGCCUCGCGCCGAGCCCAAGUCCAACUUGAAUGAGGCCACGGCCCGUAAGGGUGCCAGGCCCGUAGCGGCCGGUGCGAGUGUCGGGAGGACCUCUCCUUCGAGUCGGGUUGCUUGAGAGUGCAGCUCCAAGUGGGUGGUAAACUCCAUCUGAGACUAAAUAUGACCACGAGACCGAUAGCGAACAAGUACCGUGAGGGAAAGUUGAAAAGAACUUUGAAGAGAGAGUUCAAAAGUACGUGAAACCGUCCUGGGGUAAACGUGAGAAGUCCGAAAGGUCGAACGGGCGGAUUCACGUCCAUCCGGCCGCUGGCCUCCGUUCUCGGCAGAUGGGGCCGGCCGCCCGCGCGGAGCAAUCCGCGGCGGGGUCGUGUCCGGUUACUUUUCCACUCGCCGUAGGGCGGGGCCGUUCCAGCGUGCGGUGGACCGCACUUUCGCCCUAGUAGGACGUCGCGACCCGCUGGGUGUCGGCCUACGGCCCGGUGUGCGCAGCCUGCCCUUCCGCGGGCUUCGGUUCGUGUCUGUUGGGCAGAGCCCCGGUGUCCCGGCCGGCUGCUCGGCGGUAGAUAAUGCGAGGAGUCGAUUCGCCACAAUAUCGUGGGCGCCCUGGGCUCCCGGCAAGCGUGCGCGGUUCUUCCCGGAUGACGGUCCUACCUGGCCCGGCCCCGGACCCGCGCCGCUGUUGGCUCGGGAACGCUCUCGGGCGGAAUGAUCGCUCCCGUCAGCGGCGCKUCAGCUWUGGACAAUUUCACGACCCGUCUUGAAACACGGACCAASGAGUCUAACAUGUGCGCGAGUCAUUGKGCUCUUACGAAACCUAAASGCGUAAUGAAAGUGAAGGUCUCGCCUUGCGCGGGCCGAGGGAWGAUGGGGUUUCCCYGCCCUUCACUGGSCGGUCKGCSUCCGCAUUCCMGGGRCGUCUCGUCCUCAUUGMGAGGUGAGGCGCACCUAGAGCGUACACGUUSGGACCCGAAMGAUGGUGARCYAUGCCUGKCCAKGACGAWGUCAKGGGAAAYCCUGAKGGAGGUCGACGACUGACUGCAAUCAUCCGACGGGAGGCGAGGAUAGUCACUCCUCCGUGGUCCCUCAAUACGUACGGCAUGCUUGAUAUGCUGAAGCCGCGAGCUCGAAACCGACUCGGAUCGGAGUGCCAAGUGGGCCACUUUUGGUAAGCAGAACUGGCGCUGUGGGAUGAACCAAACGCCGAGUUAAGGCGCCCGAAUCGACGCUCAUGGGAAACCAUGAAAGGCGUUGGUUGCUUAAGACAGCAGGACGGUGGCCAUGGAAGUCGGAAUCCGCUAAGGAGUGUGUAACAACUCACCUGCCGAAGCAACUAGCCCUGAAAAUGGAUGGCGCUGAAGCGUCGUGCCUAUACUCGGCCGUCAGUGCGGCAGUCAUGGCCGGUCCUCGCGGCCGGUCGCGAAGCCCUGACGAGUAGGAGGGUCGCGGCGGUGAGCGCAGAAGGGUCUGGGCGUGAGCCUGCCUGGAGCCGCCGUCGGUGCAGAUCUUGGUGGUAGUAGCAAAUACUCCAGCGAGGCCCUGGAGGGCUGACGCGGAGAAGGGUUUCGUGUGAACAGCCGUUGCACACGAGUCAGUCGAUCCUAAGCCCUAGGAGAAAUCCGAUGUCGAUGGGGGCCGUAAAAGCAAUCUUUGAAAAGCUGGCCCCCGUUGGGCGAAAGGGAAUCCGGUUCCUAUUCCGGAACCCGGCAGCGGAACCGAUACAAGUCGGGCCCCUCUUUAUGAGAUGCUCGUCGGGGUAACCCAAAAGGACCCGGAGACGCCGUCGGGAGAUCGGGGAAGAGUUUUCUUUUCUGCAUGAGCGUUCGAGUUCCCUGGAAUCCUCUAGCAGGGAGAUAGGGUUUGGAACGCGAAGAGCACCGYGUGGCGGUGCCGAUUUCCUCUCGGAC